AUUGAACGCUGGCGGCAUGCCUUACACAUUCAAGUCGAACGGUAACAGGUCUUCGGAUGCUGACGAGUGGCGAACGGGUGAGUAAUACAUCGGAACGUGCCUAGUAGUGGGGGAUAACUACUCGAAAGAGUGGCUAAUACCGCAUGAGAUCUACGGAUGAAAGCAGGGGAUCGCAAGACCUUGUGCUACUAGAGCGGCCGAUGGCAGAUUAGGUAGUUGGUGGGAUAAAAGCUUACCAAGCCGACGAUCUGUAGCUGGUCUGAGAGGACGAUCAGCCACACUGGGACUGAGAUACGGCCCAGACUCCUACGGGAGGCAGCAGUGGGGAAUUUUGGACAAUGGGCGAAAGCCUGAUCCAGCAAUGCCGCGUGCAGGAUGAAGGCCUUCGGGUUGUAAACUGCUUUUGUACGGAACGAAAAGCCCUGGGUUAAUACCCUGGGGUCAUGACGGUACCGUAAGAAUAAGCACCGGCUAACUACGUGCCAGCAGCCGCGGUAAAAC
rnacentral:rRNA from 1 species